ACGCGAAGAACCUUACGAGCUUUUGACAUGUCCCGUAUGAGAAACAGAAAUGUAUCUCUUCACUUCGGGUGGCGGGAACACAGGUGCUGCAUGGCUGUCGUCAGCUCGUGUCGUGAGAUGUUGGGUUAAGUCCCGCAACGAGCGCAACCCUCGCCCUUAGUUGCCAUCAUUCAGUUGGGCACUCUAAGGGGACUGCCGGUGAUAAGCCGCGAGGAAGGUGGGGAUGACGUCAAGUCCUCAUGGCCCUUACAGGCUGGGCUACACACGUGCUACAAUGGCGGUGACAAUGGGAGGCAAUGGCGCGAGCCUGCGCAAAUCUCAAAAAGCCGUCUCAGUUCGGAUUGCACUCUGCAACUCGAGUGCAUGAAGUUGGAAUCGCUAGUAAUCGCGGAUCAGCACGCCGCGGUGAAUACGUUCCCGGGUCUUGUACACACCG
rnacentral:rRNA from 1 species